rnacentral:rRNA from 1 species
UUAUUUGAUUUUCUUCGGAACUGAAGAUUUGGUGAUUGAGUGGCGGACGGGUGAGUAACGCGUGGGUAACCUGCCCUGUACAGGGGGAUAACAGUCAGAAAUGACUGCUAAUACCGCAUAAGACCACAGCACCGCAUGGUGCAGGGGUAAAAACUCCGGUGGUACAGGAUGGACCCGCGUCUGAUUAGCUGGUUGGUGAGGUAACGGCUCACCAAGGCGACGAUCAGUAGCCGGCUUGAGAGAGUGAACGGCCACAUUGGGACUGAGACACGGCCCAAACUCCUACGGGAGGCAGCAGUGGGGAAUAUUGCACAAUGGGGGGAACCCUGAUGCAGCGACGCCGCGUGAGUGAAGAAGUAUCUCGGUAUGUAAAGCUCUAUCAGCAGGGAAGAAAAUGACGGUACCUGACUAAGAAGCCCCGGCUAACUACGUGCCAGCAGCCGCGGUAAUACGUAGGGGGCAAGCGUUAUCCGGAAUUACUGGGUGUAAAGGGUGCGUAGGUGGUAUGGCAAGUCAGAAGUGAAAACCCAGGGCUUAACUCUGGGACUGCUUUUGAAACUGUCAGACUGGAGUGCAGGAGAGGUAAGCGGAAUUCCUAGUGUAGCGGUGAAAUGCGUAGAUAUUAGGAGGAACAUCAGUGGCGAAGGCGGCUUACUGGACUGAAACUGACACUGAGGCACGAAAGCGUGGGGAGCAAACAGG